UAGGGAAUCUUCGGCAAUGGACGGAAGUCUGACCGAGCAACGCCGCGUGAGUGAAGAAGGUUUUCGGAUCGUAAAGCUCUGUUGUAAGAGAAGAACGAGUGUGAGAGUGGAAAGUUCACACUGUGACGGUAUCUUACCAGAAAGGGACGGCUAACUACGUGCCAGCAGCCGCGGUAAUACGUAGGUGGCAAGCGUUAUCCGGAUUUAUUGGGCGUAAAGAGAGUGCAGGCGGUUUUCUAAGUCUGAUGUGAAAGCCUUCGGCUUAACCGGAGAAGUGCAUCGGAAACUGGAUAACUUGAGUGCAGAAGAGGGUAGUGGAACUCCAUGUGUAGCGGUGGAAUGCGUAGAUAUAUGGAAGAACACCAGUGGCGAAGGCGGCUACCUGGUCUGCAACUGACGCUGAGACUCGAAAGCAUGGGUAGCGAACAGGAUUAGAUACCCUGGUAGUCCAUGCCGUAAACGAUGAGUGCUAGGUGUUGGAGGGUUUCCGCCCUUCAGUGCCGGAGCUAACGCAUUAAGCACUCCGCCUGGGGAGUACGACCGCAAGGUU
rnacentral:rRNA from 1 species